rnacentral:tRNA from 1 species
GCCCGCAUAGCUCAAACGGUAGAGCAGCGGACUCUUAAUCCGUUGGUUCAAGGUUCGAUUCCUUGUGCGGGUA